UUUUAUUUGAGAGUUUGAUCCUGGCUCAGGAUGAACGCUGGCGGCGUGCCUAACACAUGCAAGUUGAGCGAUUUACUUCGGUAAAGAGCGGCGGACGGGUGAGUAACGCGUGGGUAACCUACCCUGUACACACGGAUAACAUACCGAAAGGUAUGCUAAUACGGGAUAAUAUAUUUGAGAGGCAUCUCUUGAAUAUCAAAGGUGAGCCAGUACAGGAUGGACCCGCGUCUGAUUAGCUAGUUGGUAAGGUAACGGCUUACCAAGGCGACGAUCAGUAGCCGACCUGAGAGGGUGAUCGGCCACAUUGGAACUGAGACACGGUCCAACCUCCUACGGGAGGCAGCAGUGGGGAAUAUUGCACAAUGGGCGAAAGCCUGAUGCAGCAACGCCGCGUGAGUGAUGAAGGCCUUCGGGUCGUAAA
rnacentral:rRNA from 1 species